rnacentral:rRNA from 1 species
CCUGGUUGAUCCUGCCAGAAUAGUCAUAUGCUUGUCUUAAAGAUUAAGCCAUGCAUGUCUAAGUUAUGAACUAAUUCAGACUGUGAAACUGCGGAUGGCUCAUUAAAUCAGGUAUAGUUUUUCUUGAGGGUACCAUACUACUCGAUAACCGUAUAAUUCUAUUAGCUAAUACAUGCACCAAGUCCUGACCUUUGGAAGGGAUGCAUUUUAGAUAAAGGCUGGCACGGGCUUGCCCGCUUCUCCAGUGAAUCAUGAUAACUAGACGGAUCAUACAACCCUUGUGCUGGUGAUGCUUCAUUCAAAUUUCUACCCUAUCAACUUUCGAUGGUAAGAUAGAGGCCUACCAUGGUGGUGACGAGUGAUGGAGAAUUAGGGUUUGAUUCCGAAGAGGGAGCCUGAGAAACGGCUACCAUAUCCAAGGAAGGAAACAGGCGCGCAAAUUACCCAAUCCUGACAUGGGGAGGUAGUGACAAUAAAUGACAAUACUAGGCUCAUUGAGUCUGGUAUUGGAAUGAGUAAAAUCUAAAUCCCUUAACAAGGAUCCAUUGGAGGGCAAGUCUGGUGCCAGAAGCCGCGGUAAUUCCAUCUCCAAUAGCGUAUAUUUAAGUUGUUGUAGUUAAAAAGCUCGUAGUUGGAUCUUGGGUCAUAAAGGUUAGUCUGCCUACUCGGUGUGCACUUGCCUUUCUGUCCCUUUUGUCGGUGGCGUGUUCCUGGCCCCUUAAUUCCGAUAAAAAACAAGACCUCAGCCUGCUAAUUAGCUACGAGAAGGUUCCCCUUCGUGGCCAACUUCUUAGAGGGACUAUGGCCAUUUAGGCGAUGGAAUUUUGAGGCAAUAACAUCUCUGUGAUGCCUUUAGAGUUUGUGUGCUGCACGCGCGCUACACUGAUGCAGCCAACGAGCUUUUCUUCCUAGUUCGAGAGGAUAGGGAAAUCUUCUCAAAUUGCAUCGUGAUGGGGAUAGACCAUUGCAAUUAUUGGUCUUCAAUGAGGAAUUUCUAGUAAGCACGUGUCAUCAAAUCGUGUUGACUACAUCCUUGCCCUUUGUACACACCGCUCGUCGCUCCUACCAAUUGAAUGAUCCGGUGAAGUGUUUGGAUUGCGUUGACGAUGGUGGUCCACUGCCGUCGACGUCGUGAGAAGUUCAUUGAACCUUAUCAUUUAGAGGAAGGAGAAGUCUUAACAAGGUUACCAUAGGUGAACCUGCAGUAGGAUCAUUG